rnacentral:lncRNA from 1 species
UGCAAAUUGUUACUAGCUUGUAGUAGUACUAUUCAACAUAAGAAUAGUGCAAACCGACGGCAGUCAUACCAAUUCAUCACCAGAUUAAUGUCUCAUGGAAUCAUUGUCUUCCGAUAUGGCUAUUACAAACAGAGAGCAAGAAUUCUACCAUCAUAUACACACCAAUACUCUGGUGCAAACUUCUAAGCAAGUAGCCCGGAGUAAAACAUCAUCACCACACCCAUAAUGACCCACCAAACUUCACAGCUAUAGACAAUUACGAUCUAGUAAUACCAGAAAUAAGCAAGUCUGCAAACGUGUUCAUGGCUAAUGAUGAUUAGGGUCUACUGAUAGUAGAAAGGAGCAAGCCUGCAAAGAUUCCUUUUCCUCUGAAAACUUGCAUCUGUUGGGAUCACUCGUAAGUCACAACCAUCAGCGGAAUGGGAACUGUGGCUCCUUGCCACAUUCCCUGGACACCUUCUCUUCUUAGCUUCAUCUGCAAAUUACCCAACGCAAGAUUUGAUCAUAUAUUCAUAUUGCCACAUUCUCAUAUCAACGUUAAGCAUCCUAUAGGAUAGUUUCAAGUACUGUAAAUCUAAUCUAAAGACCAUGCCACUCAUUUUCCAUAUGAUUGUUCUUUUAUGAGUAUGAAUCUUUCUUCUCCUUUCAAUUGGUAGUGCUAACAAACACACAACUGAUGACAUGAACUUGCAAUGUUGGAAUUUAACUGUUCUCAAAGGCACGUCUACCAAAAUGUAGUGGCAUAGCACCAGCUUAAAGUACUAGAUGAGCGUCCAGGUACUACUGCCAUGUAAUUUAUUUACAUGAUCAAACAGUUUACUUCUUUUUAUUUUACUAAAGUAUAAAAGCAUUAAACCGAGUCACAGAACAGGAGACAGAGGCACGAUGACACUUCUACCAAAAUGUAGUGGCACAGCGCCACAUAGAAGUUGAUAACUGUUAAAGGAGGUGAGCCAUUAUACUGCCAUGUUAUUUAUUUACAUGAUCAAACAGUUUACUUCUAUUUACCAGCAACAGAACAAUGGCACAAAGUCACAAUCGACAAAAACAGGUAAGUAGAGUAGGCUCAUAUAUGUCAUAGCCAAAACUUGAAAACUUUGGAUCUUUCCAUGGAGUAAAUAUCGAUGACAGGAGUUCACAAGAAAGGUGCUUGCAAACCGUUUGGAGGCAUGCAAAUAUUGUUAUAAUCUCACUCGCUGCAAAGAUAUAUCGAUUACAAGGGAUGAUGGAGCAAAGGCAAUUAAGAUUAUUUUAUUCUAAUACGUGGAAUUGACCAAUUGUGUUUUCACUACUUCGUAACAAAAGCAUAUGGUAGAACUGCAUGCAUCAGUUGGCUACUCACAAAUUUAAGAUCCAUAAUAACACUCCCAAUUUUAUAAUGAAUGCCAAUAUGCAGUGAUUAGAGGAAAUAGAAGAAUCCUUUUUGGUUUAAUAUACGACAAUACUCCAUGUUAACAAAUAUCAACACCAGUAGGCAGUAAACUAAGAUAUAUGAGUCCAUGUACAUGUGAGCCAUAUGAUCUUUUGAAUUGAUAUGCAUAUUUCAAAGCAAAGGGGAAGAGAUAUAUGUAUAUACCUCAACAAAACUGCGAUGGUGCUUUGCUGUCCGCCCGGUCCUCCCUCCAGGCACCCAGUGCUUGAGCUGGAAGGAUAAAAAAGCAGGAUAUUGCGUUGAAACCAAUUAUCCCCACAUCCUUGAGUACAGAACCGACCAUUUCUCCAUGAGAUAACGAUCCCUCCACAUGCGACAACGCAGGCGUCGCUAACAGAAGACCGG